GUGUUGCAUCACAAUCCCCUGUGGGAUUCCUGUUGCUAAGGGCUAGGCUAUUAGGUCGUGGGUGGUGGUGGUUGAGGCCCAGAAGAGAGAGAGGCCAAGCAUUAUACCAUUCACUUAUGAAAGACCAUCUCCUUCGCUAGCGUCUUGCCAAAUGCAAGGCGGUUCUUUUAAUGAGAUUCAGAAGCAAUACAAACACAAGUGAGUGAGAAGAUUAAAGAUUUUAUUCUAAACAGCAAGCAUUAUAUAAAUUACCAAGCAAGCACCUCGAUCUGCCACUGGGAAGUCCUCAAGAAGUGGCAAAGUGACCCCGAGGUAGCCUCAGGUUGCACGAGCUUCUGAGAGCUAUGCCCCCAAACCAUUUGAUUUAUAGAGAGCUAGAUUGUUAGCCUACGUGCCUUGCCCAACUAGCUAGUGCAGAUUAUUAAUUAGCUAGCCCCUCUUCCAAUACUGCACGUUCCUCCAAACAAUGUUUAACAUCAAAGGAGGUCAGAAGGUGCCCUGCAUUAUCACUUCUUCCUUCCACCAGAUUAUACAUUAAAGGCUGCUCUCAGCCAUCAAAGAGUAGAACAAGAGAUAGAGGGGAAAUAAACAGAAGCAGGAAGAGAUGACCAUGUCAGGUCACUUAUCUCCUCAAAAUACAAUUGUCCUCCAGAUGGAUUGCCCCUACAACUAGACCCUCUCAGACAUUUAGAUCCUCAUUGGGGUCCCUCUUGCCAGUUCCAUCACCCUCAAGAGUGGAAGCCCCUAAGCUGUGGAAUUUCCUUCCCAAAGAAGAAGAAGAAGAGGAGGAGGAGGAGGAAGAGUUUGGAUUUGAUAUCCCACUUUAUCACUACCUUAAGGAGUCUCAAAGUGGCUAACAUUCUCCUUUGCCUUCCUCCCCCACAACAAACACUCUGUGAGGUGAGCGGGGCAGAGAGACUUCAAAGAAGUGUGACUAGCCCAAGGUCACCCAGCAGCUGCAUGUGAAGAAGUGGAGACACGAACCCGGUUCACCAGAUUACGAGUCUACCGCUCUUAACCACUACACCACACUGGCUCUCCCACAGAGAUGUGUGUGGCAUCUUCUCUCUCUCUCUCUCUCUCUCACACACACACACACACACACACAACCUAUUCUCCUGAUUAUGAAUCAUUUUAUUUUAUUUUUAUUUUCAGAUUGUAAGCUGCCCUGGAUCUUAUGGUGCAAGUUAAUAAGAAAGCCAAAGAAUAUAUAUAUUUCAGUGGUCUUACAUGGGAGAAAAUAACGAGUGCUGUUGGGUACACCUCUGGGAUGGGAGCUAAGCUACUUCUGGCCUCUUAACAGCAUCCUGGGUAGCCUCUUGAAGAUGAAGGCUAUCUGCAUGGUCUCAUCAUUGUGUUUAUGUUUUCCCCUGGUAGUGCUACAGCAAGAGGCAAUUUUUCAAACUGGCAGAGAGAGGGAGGGAGAGAGAGAGAGAGAGAGAGAGAGAGAGAGGUGUCAAUGCAGAUGCUUGUCCAUUUUAACACUACAUUGUGUGGGGCUGCAAAAAUACCUGGACCACAUCAUGCCUUUACUCCGGUAAGCGAUUAGAGAUGCACCUGCUACAACCCUCCAUAAACAUUUCCCCUUGAUUUUCUUUGCUCUCUUCUGCCUCUCUGAAACUGGUAUCAAUUUUUUUUGUUAUGCCGCUUCCAAAAUCCAUUAUAUUGAACCAUCUGUGAAUAACAAGUACAGGAUGACCCACUUCUGCUGUAUAGCCGUUCUGCUAAUUAUCUACAAAAAUAUGGAUGGGUCGCCUGCUGUUGAAAUUGUUAUCAGGCACCAGAAGGUAAUUCUCAGUAGUAAGGAGGAAAUGGUUGGGAGACAUUAAAGAGCCAGCUACUUAAAAACAUCUCUGGGUACUUCGUCUUUCAGCAGAGUCUAAAAGGAUGCUUGUAACUAUGCAAAAGGAGAAGCAGACCUGUGGGCUUGUUGCACCAAUGGCUUCAUUUUGGAGCCUCUAUUUUACACUGCCAAAGACAAACACCCAAAGCAAACCUUCCCACACAAACUGUUGUAAUUGAACAAUGUUGGUUAUGAUUCAUGUGCAAGUUACAUCUAGCUGCUAGGUGAGAAACAAUGUGAUUCCCCCCCCUUUCUGUCCCUUAUAUUUCAUAGAAUCAUAGAAUUGUAGAGUUGGAAGGGUCAUCUAGUCCAACCCCCUGCAAUGCAGGAAUCUUUUGCCCAAUGUAGGACUCAAACCCAGGACCCUGAAAUUCAGAGUCUCAUGCUCUACCAACUGAGCUAGAACCUAUUCCAAAAUGUAGCAGUGCCAUUCAUAUAACACUGACAUAAUAUGUAGUAGAAAGGUUAUUGAGCUACACCUGAAACAAUUUCACUUCAGAGAUUUCCUUUGAAAAUUUGGAUACCAAAUGUUUUUGUUCAGAUUCCUGCACUGCAGGAAUCUACGAUUUGAAAUAGUCUAAAAGACUGUGCGUCAACAUCUGGUAUCCUUAUCAUGGACUCUGAACAUGUUUGUAUAUGUAUUUUUUCCUUUAUCUUUACAGUGGCACCUCAGUUUUCAAAGGUAAUCUGUUCUGGAAGACUGUUCGAGUUCUGAAACGUUCAAAAACCGAAAACUCAAUACGGAAGCCUCAAAACGAAAAACUCAAUAUGGAAAACUCAAUAUGGAAGCUGUGUGGCAUGUUCGACUUCCAAUAUGUUUUUGAAGCAUAUACCUCUGGGUUUAUGCCGUUCGAAAACCGAAAUUUUCAUCAACGGAGACGUUCGAAUUUUGUUUUCUU